rnacentral:rRNA from 1 species
GGAAAGCAGGGGAUCGCAGACCUUGCGCUCUUUGAGCGGCCGAUGUCAGAUUAGCUAGUUGGUGAGGUUAACGGCUUACCAAGGCGACGAUCUGUAGCGGGUCUGAGAGGAUGAUCCGCCACACUGGAACUGAGACACGGUCCAGACUCCUACGGGAGGCAGCAGUGGGGAAUUUUUGGACAAUGGGGGGCAACCCUGAUCCAGCCAUGCCGCGUGAGUGAAGAAGGCCUUCGGGUUGUAAAGCUCUUUCGGCCGGGAAGAAAUCGCAUGGGUUAAUACCCUGUGUGGAUGACGGUACCGGCAUAAGAAGCACCGGCUAACUACGUG